ACCUUAGCACGGUCAGGAUACAGUGCAAAGGUAGCAUAAUCAUUUGCCAUUUAAUUGAUGGCUAGUAUGAAUGAAUAUACGAGAACACUUCUGUCUCUUAUUUACUUAUAAAAACUGACCUUCAAGUGAAGAGACUUGAAUUACUAAAAAAGACGAAAAGACCCUAUAGAGCUUAACUUAAAAAUAUAUUACAUAUAUCUAAGGUUUAGUUGGGGCAACUGGAGAGAACUAUAACCUCUCCUUUUUUAACUAAACUAGAUCCAAAUUUUAUGACUAGUGGAAGAAGCUACCUUAGGGAUAACAGGCUAAUCCUGCUUAAGAGACCAUAUUGACAGCAGGGCUUGGCACCUCGAUGU
rnacentral:rRNA from 1 species